rnacentral:rRNA from 1 species
AUACAGAGAGUGCAAGCGUUAAUCGGAAUAACUGGGCGUAAAGCGCACGUAGGUGGACAUUUAAGUCGGAUGUGAAAGCCCUAGGCUUAACCUAGGAACUGCAUCCGAAACUGGGCGUCUUGAGUAUAGUAGAGGGAAGUGGAAUUUCCGGUGUAGCGGUGAAAUGCGUAGAUAUCGGAAAGAACACCAGUGGCGAAGGCGGCUUCCUAGACCAAUAUUGACGCUGAGGUGCGAAAGCGUGGGGAGCAAACAGGAUUAGAUACCCUAGUAGUCC